UACAGAGGUCCCAAGCGUUGUUCGGAUUCAUUGGGCGUAAAGGGUGCGUAGGCGGCUUCUUAAGUCAGGGGUGAAAUCCUGGAGCUCAACUCCAGAACUGCCUUUGAUACUGAGGAGCUUGAGUCCGGGAGAGGUGAGUGGAACUGCGAGUGUAGAGGUGAAAUUCGUAGAUAUUCGCAAGAACACCAGUGGCGAAGGCGGCUCACUGGCCCGGUACUGACGCUGAGGUGCGAAAGCGUGGGGAGCAAACAGG
rnacentral:rRNA from 1 species